rnacentral:rRNA from 1 species
CUGGCGGCGUGCUUCAUACAUGCAAGUCGAACGAGAAGCUGACUUCGGUCAGUAGAAAGUGGCGGACGGGUGAGUAAUGUGUAGAGAAUCUGCCCUAGAGUGGGGGACAACAGUUGGAAACGACUGCUAAUACCGCAUAUGAGCGUACCUGAAAUGGUAUUCUUGAAAACUCCGGUGCUCUGGGAUGAGUCUGCAUCUGAUUAGCUAGUUGGCGGUGUAAUGGACCACCAAGGCGACGAUCAGUAGCUGGUUUGAGAGGAUGAUCAGCCACAAUGGGACUGAGACACGGCCCAUACUCCCACGGGAGGCAGCAGUAGGGAAUUUUGCGCAAUGGGGGAAACCCUGACGCCAGCAACGCCGCGUGAUUGAAUAAGCCCUUCGGGGUGUAAAGAUCUGUCAGUAGGGACGAAACUUGACGGUACCUACAGAGGAAGCAUCGGCUAACUCCGUGCCAGCCGCAGC